UACGUAGGGUGCGAGCGUUGUCCGGAAUUAUUGGGCGUAAAGAGCUUGUAGGCGGUCUGUCGCGUCUGCUGUGAAAAUCCGGGGCUCAACCCCGGACUUGCAGUGGGUACGGGCAGACUAGAGUGUGGUAGGGGAGACGUGGAAUUCCUGGUGUAGCGGUGAAAUGCGCAGAUAUCAGGAGGAACACCGAUGGCGAAGGCAGGUCUCUGGGCCACUACUGACGCUGAGGAGCGAAAGCAUGGGGAGCGAACAGG
rnacentral:rRNA from 1 species